GAUGAACGCUGGCGGCGCGCCUAAUACAUGCAAGUCGAGCGAACGGACGAGAAGCUUGCUUCUCUGAUGUUAGCGGCGGACGGGUGAGUAACACGUGGAUAACCUACCUAUAAGACUGGGAUAACUUCGGGAAACCGGAGCUAAUACCGGAUGAUAUUUUGAACCGCAUGGUUCAAAAGUGAAAGACGGUCUUGCUGUCACUUAUAGAUGGAUCCGCGCUGCAUUAGCUAGUUGGUAAGGUAACGGCUUACCAAGGCAACGAUGCAUAGCCGACCUGAGAGGGUGAUCGGCCACACUGGAACUGAGACACGGUCCAGACUCCUACGGGAGGCAGCAGUAGGGAAUCUUCCGCAAUGGGCGAAAGCCUGACGGAGCAACGCCGCGUGAGUGAUGAAGGUCUUCGGAUCGUAAAACUCCGUUAUUAGGGAAGAACAUAUGUGUAAGUAACUGUGCACAUCUUGACGGUACCUAAUCAGAAAGCCACGGCUAACUACGUG
rnacentral:rRNA from 1 species